UGCCAGCCGCCGCGGUAAUACGGAGGGUGCGAGCGUUAAUCGGAAUUACUGGGCGUAAAGCGUACGUAGGCGGUUGGAUAAGUUAGAUGUGAAAGCCCCGGGCUUAACCUGGGAACUGCAUUUAAAACUGUUCGACUAGAGUUGAGUAGAGGGGAGUGGAAUUUCAGGUGUAGCGGUGAAAUGCGUAGAGAUCUGAAGGAACACCAGUGGCGAAGGCGACUCCCUGGACUCAAACUGACGCUGAGGUACGAAAGCGUGGGUAGCAACCAGGAUUAGAUA
rnacentral:rRNA from 1 species